rnacentral:rRNA from 1 species
GAUGAACGCUGGCGGUAUGCUUAACACAUGCAAGUCGAACGGUACCUUCGGGUAUAGUGGCGGACGGGUGAGUAACGCGUGAGAAUCUAUCUUCAGGUCGGGGACAACAGUUAGAAAUGACUGCUAAUACCGGAUGUGCCGAAAGGUAAAAGAUUUAUUGCCUGAAAAAGAGCUCGCGUCAGAUUAGCUAGUAGGUGGUGUAAGAGACUACCUAGGCUUCGAUCUGUAGCUGGUCUGAGAGGACGAUCAGCCACACUGGAACUGAGACACGGUCCAGACUCCUACGGGAGGCAGCAGUGGGGAAUUUUCCGCAAUGGGCGAAAGCCUGACGGAGCAAUACCGCGUGAGGGACGAAGGCUCUUGGGUCGUAAACCUCUUUUCUCAGGGAAGAUUCAGACGGUACUUGAGGAAUAAGCAUCGGCUAACUCUGUG